rnacentral:misc_RNA from 1 species
GUUCCGUAGGUGAACCUGCGGAAGGAUCAUUAUUGUAUAACCGAGGUGCGAGGGCUGUCGCUGACCCGAAAGGUCGUGCACGCCCGAGUGCCCUCACACACAUCCAUCUCACCCCUAUGUGCACCACCGCGUGGGUCCCCCUUUGGCUUGUUCGGAGGGGGGCUUACGUUUUCACACAAACUUUGUAUGCAGUGUAGAAUGUAUUUUUGUUUUUGCGAUCACGCAAUCAAUACAACUUUCAACAACGGAUCUCUUGGCUCUC